CAAUGUGCUGCCGAACACUAAAAGAGUUCAAAGGUCAACGUGUUAAAAUCGUUAUACAUUUAAAACUGGUUGUGGGAUGAAAGCUUAUGUCCUGCAGGAAACAUCAUGUAUGACAAGGAAGAUCCUUGUAGGUGUAGGUCGUCUGAACAGCUCUGAGAGGUUCUUCUAUUUGUGUACGGAAGUCCGGAGAUCAGUCAAAGCCUGGUACUGAGUAUAACACUGACAUCACAGACUGUGACAGUCACAUCCCUGGCUGACACUGUCACGUGUAAACCUUGUAACAAGAACACUGAUGGCUUGGUGUCUACCCCUUGUGGUUCUUAUGGUUUCUACAGCUGUUGGAGACAUCCUGCAAGUGUGCGAGGAAAAGGAAACUACAGGUUCAUACUUCGCCUUGUACCGUUUAGACUCCACCAGCGGUUUUCCCUGUGAAUGUGUCAUCACCUCAAGACAGACACUGUCAUUCGUUUUCAAAAGGGGGGCCGGAGGUGACCCCAGUUGAAGUCAGGAAAUGUUACUUUACGGUCAAUAAACGGCGACAAAUACAAUGAAGUCCUCCUUGUGGAACGAGAGGUGGUGAACGGCAGUCAUUUCGUGCUGACAUUUCCAAAAGGUCUGAUUAAAGGGGAAACAAAUAUAUACGUAUUACAAGCCAAUAAGACAUUCACCUUGAAAUGUUCGCCCAAAGUAGACGGUGGCAGAAACAAUACUAAUACAGUAACACAGAAGAAUGAGAACAAAGACAACACGAAGAGUGGUAAAGAUCACAUUUGUCUUUUUUCUUACUUGUCUCU